rnacentral:lncRNA from 1 species
AUGAGAGAAACAUUAAAUGUCGAUAGUGUUUUUAGUGAAAGUGAAAAAAGGCAACAUAGUCCAAGACAUAAGUCAAAUGGCAGUAACAAACCUAAAGGAAGGAAGGAUCAGAGUUUUAGUAACUGGCCAAAAGAGAAUCCAAGGCAGAAAGGUUUAAUAACCAUAUAUGAAGAUGAAAUGAAACAGGAAAUAGGAAGCAGAAGUUCCCUUGAAUCUAAUGGAAAAGGAGCAGAGAAAAAUAAAGGCGUCAUAGAGAGUAAAGUUCAGGGUGAAAACUGGCAGAUGCAGAGGACCGAAUCUGGAUAUGAAAGCAGUGAUCACAUCAGUAAUGGAUCUGCCAGUUUGGACUCACCUGUUAUUGAUGGAAAUGAUACAGUAACGGAUGUCUGUGGUGAUAAAGAACUGGUAUCUUUCAGUGACCAAAUGAAGCAUCUUCUUUUCAUUUGGAAUGAGAUCAUAACUUUUUUGUAUUAAAUUUAAAUCUAAAAUGUCUCAAUCUUUGGAAGAGUAUUCAUAUUGGCCCAAGAUUUAAAUAUCAGCAUUAUUUCAGAAAACUUCUCCAGAAAACUAGGGAGUAGUAGGCAUAGAAAGACUCUCUAGAGGUGAGGCGAGAAGGAAUCUUCUGGCAGCCUUUACUGGUUUUCAACUUGCUCAGCUUCCCAGCGUUUCCCAGUGCCGAGGAAGUCUCAAGUUUUCAUUUGUAAGCAGUGUAUGAUGGAUAUUAUGCUCUAAUUCAUCUUUUUUUAGUCAGAUGUUAUGCUAUAGUUGCUUUAAAAAUGAAACAAAGUGGAAGCAUAGCUAACACUUUUUAACUUUUGAUAAUUUUGUAAAAUUAAACAUUUUGUAGAAGCAGCAUGGGCUGCCACCCCACGCUCCUAGGGCAGAGAAGGUGAGCCUCACAGGUGCCAGAAGCACCACUCUCCCUGCCGUGGAAAUGAGAAGACACAUAAACAAGCCUCAAAACCAGACUUGCAGAUCACCUACAGCAACCCCAAAGGGAAACGAGAUGGAACAGUCUGAUACUCAACCACCUGGACUCCCUGAACUGGUAAAAAAAGAGGAUCUGGGAAAAAUGAAAUCAGAAAUAAUUACUCAGAUAACAGCAAAGAUUGUGCUCAUGGUGCAAGACAUGAUUAAUAAAUCUAGAGAGGACACAG